rnacentral:lncRNA from 1 species
GGGUUUUGGUGGUUCGAGCUCUGGCUCAGGCAGUUCAAGAUGCAUGAGGUGUGGAAGGCCACACAAAGGAGUCUGUCGAGUAGGGACUACAGCAUGUUUUAGAUGCGGUCAGGAAGGGCACAUAGCACGUGAGUGUCCCACUGUGCCCAGGUUGGCUCCGUCCCAGCCAGCAGCUCCAGGUAGAACAGCUCAGCCAGUAGCUCCAACCAUGUUUCAGGUUGGUG